GAAAUGCGAUAAGUAAUGUGAAUUGCAGAAUUCAGUGAAUCAUCGAAUCUUUGAACGCACAUUGCGCCCCCUGGCAUUCCGGGGGGCAUGCCUGUUCGAGCGUCAUUACACCACUCAAGCCUGGCUUGGUAUUGAGCGCCGCGGCCUGCCCGCGCGCUCCAAUGUCUCCGGCUGAGCCGUCCGUCUCUAAGCGUUGUGAAUAGCGAUCGCUUGCGAGGCCCGGGCGGUUCGACGCCGUUAAACCCCCCCUUUUCUAUGGUUGACCUCGGAUCAGGUAGGGAUACCCGCUGAACUUAAGC
rnacentral:misc_RNA from 1 species